GAUAACAGGCUGAUCACUCCCAAGAGUUCACAUCGACGGAGUGGUUUGGCACCUCGAUGUCGGCUCAUCGCAUCCUGGGGCUGUAGCAGGUCCCAAGGGUUGGGCUGUUCGCCCAUUAAAGCGGUACGCGAGCUGGGUUCAGAACGUCGUGAGACAGUUC
rnacentral:ncRNA from 1 species